GAUGAACGCUGGCGGCGUGCCUAACACAUGCAAGUCGAACGAGGCAAAUAAGUUGAAGUUUUCGGAUGGAUUCUUAUUUACCGAGUGGCGGACGGGUGAGUAACGCGUGGGUAACCUGCCUCAUACAGGGGGAUAACGGUUAGAAAUGACUGCUAAUACCGCAUAAGCGCACAGUACCGCAUGGUACGGUGUGAAAAACUCCGGUGGUAUGAGAUGGACCCGCGUCUGAUUAGCUAGUUGGUGAGAUAACAGCCCACCGAGGCGACGAUCAGUAGCCGACCUGAGAGGGUGAUCGGCCACAUUGGGACUGAGACACGGCCCAA
rnacentral:rRNA from 1 species